GUCGCGCCCCUCGGCAACGGGGGGCGAGGAUUGAAAC
rfam:Rugosibacter aromaticivorans strain Ca6, complete genome.